rnacentral:rRNA from 1 species
GACGAACGCUGGCGGCGUGCCUAAUACAUGCAAGUAGAACGCUGAAGGAGGAGCUUGCUUCUCUGGAUGAGUUGCGAACGGGUGAGUAACGCGUAGGUAACCUGCCUGGUAGCGGGGGAUAACUAUUGGAAACGAUAGCUAAUACCGCAUAAAAUUGAUUAUCGCAUGAUAAUCCAUUGAAAGGUGCAAAUGCAUCACUACCAGAUGGACCUGCGUUGUAUUAGCUAGUUGGUGGGGUAACGGCUCACCAAGGCGACGAUACAUAGCCGACCUGAGAGGGUGAUCGGCCACACUGGGACUGAGACACGGCCCAGACUCCUACGGGAGGCAGCAGUAGGGAAUCUUCGGCAAUGGACGGAAGUCUGACCGAGCAACGCCGCGUGAGUGAAGAAGGUUUUCGGAUCGUAAAGCUCUGUUGUAAGAGAAGAACGAGUGUGAGAGUGGAAAGUUCA